ensembl:lncRNA
UUGCCACUGACACCCCACUACAGAUUAUAUACUCUGAGUUUGGGGGCAAUACUGUGUUUUACCACUUCUGAAUCGAGUUAAGAUUGCAAAGAAUUGAUGGGAACGAAAAUUCAAAAUCAAAGGGAAAGCAAUGUUUUCUUCCUACUCUGACUAGCUGUGCUUUCUUUUCCCUCCCUCUCUUUUCCCCAGGGUGUCUGACACAUGGUGAAUCACAGCCAUCAGCGCUAAUACAAGGCUCAGCUGAGGCAGAGGGAGGAGAGGAAGGAGGAGAAAGAAAGAAAAGGUUGGAAAUCACAGCCACCUGUCUGCAGCUGGGGUGCUUCUUAUCAGAGGAUGUGAGGUGAAGAAUCCUUGCAGACCUUGUGAGCAGGAGCUGCACUUUUUCCCGUUCCAGCUUCCCGGUUCCAGCUUCAGAAGGCAGUGAUGUUGCACUGCAGCCAAGCCCUCUCCGCCAGUCCCUCCAACAGACUGCACCAAAUGUAACUUCCUCUCCCUUCACUGCAUUACACAGUCUUGAAGUUCAUUAAUACCAAAUUUGGCAUUCGCUUUAUGCCUCGAAUACAAAUUUUAAAGGCCAGACAGGAAUUACCUGGAGGCCUCCCUCUUUGCACAGGAGACUGUACAGAACAGUAGCAGAAUAUUGCGCCCUUGCCUCUCAUUGACGGUUACCCACCCCGUGUUUUUAUUGGGUUAGGAGACUUCUUUUUACUGAAACUGAUUCUCAAAUGUCCACAGCCACAAAAUCUCUGCAGGCUACAAGUACAGCAGAAUUUUGAUCAUCUCUCACUCCUCAGCCUGCUUUCCUGGUGCUCCGCACUUUGAACAAUCAAAUUGAAGCAACUGUCUGCAGUUCCCAUGGAUUUAUUCUGAGCAAGGGCACCAAGAAUCCCCAGCAUCAGAAUUAAUCAUACAGAAUCAAGAAAAAUACGUUUAAAUUCAGCUGCAGCAGGGAACCUGCUAUGGGAUAAACUCUUGAGUUCUAGUGUACCCAGCAUCCCGCCUUGCCAUCCCUAUUGUGUUUCUAAAAAUGAAACUAGCUAUAUAAAUGAUUUUUACUGCCCAAGGUGAGAGAAAAGCAAAAGAAACAAACCACAAAACUACGUGAAAAGCUUUAAUUAGAACAGUAUUUUAUAAUUCUCAAAGGAGGUUUAAGGACAGUAUCAUAUGUACAGAAAUGUGUAACUUUAUUGUGUUGUGUGUUUGAAGAUUGAGACUGAGCACUUCCACCUUAUAACCUAAGCAUGAGCUGCAACUGAAAUAAUAACGCACACAAACAGAAAAUUCUGCAGUUUCAGAAACUAAUGGACACAAGA